AUUGAACGCUGGCGGAAUGCUUUACACAUGCAAGUCGAACGGCAGCACGGGGGCAACCCUGGUGGCGGGUGGCGAACGGGUGAGUAAUACAUCGGAACGUGCCCGGUCGUGGGGGAUAACGUAGCGAAAGUUACGCUAAUACCGCAUACGAUCUUAGGAUGAAAGCGGGGGACCUUCGGGCCUCGCGCGCUCGGAGCGGCCGAUGACCGAUUAGGUAGUUGGUGGGGUAAAGGCCUACCAAGCCGACGAUCUGUAGCUGGUCUGAGAGGACGACCAGCCACACUGGGACUGAGACACGGCCCAGACUCCUACGGGAGGCAGCAGUGGGGAAUUUUGGACAAUGGGCGCAAGCCUGAUCCAGCCAUUCCGCGUGCAGGACGAAGGCCUUCGGGUUGUAAACUGCUUUUGUAGGGAACGAAAAGGCUCUGGCUAAUACCUGGGGCUCAUGACGGUACCGUAAGAAUAAGCACCGGCUAACUACGUG
rnacentral:rRNA from 1 species